AUUGAACGCUGGCGGCAGGCCUAACACAUGCAAGUCGAGCGGAGCGGCGGACGGGUGAGUAAUGCCUAGGAAUCUGCCUGGUAGUGGGGGAUAACGUCCGGAAACGGGCGCUAAUACCGCAUACUAUCAGAUGAGCCUAGGUCGGAUUAGCUAGUUGGUGGGGUAAAGGCCUACCAAGGCGACGAUCCGUAACUGGUCUGAGAGGAUGAUCAGUCACAAUGGAACUAAGACACGGUCAAGACUCCUCUGGGGGGCAGCAGUUGGUAAUAUUAGACAAUGGGUGAAAGCAUGAGCCAGCCAUGCCGCGUGUGUGAAGAAGGUCUGCGGAUUGUAAAGCACUUUAAGUUGUGAGGCGUUACCAACAGAAUAAGCACCGUCUAACUUCGUGCCAGCAGCCGCGGGAAUAC
rnacentral:rRNA from 1 species